GGCGGCUGCUCGCAGCGGGCUGGGCUGGAAGUUACCAGUAUCAGGGUAGUCGGCAAAUGAAGCAAAAAUGCCCCGCGGGAGCCCCGGCCGCGCUAGGCGAGGCGGGCUCGGCAGCCCCCCGGGGCCGCGGAGCGCCUCUGUCCCGACUCUCUCAGGGGGCGAAGGCUGCGGAUGUCGCGUCUGUCUGAGUUAUUACUGCUGCCGGCGCAUCAUAGACACUGGAUGAUCAAUGAAUCUUCAGGCUUCUAGGAAUAUUUGCAAGAGGAGGAGGAAUACCGUGAACAUGAGGACGUGCGAAAGAUGGUGAUGCUUGCAACCUAUGGCUGAACUGGAGGUAAUUUAUGGGUGGAUCAAUAACAUGCUAAGGUUCUUGAAAGACUAUUAAACAGUAGAAGCGUGAUUUGCGAUUAAAUAAUUUAAAUUGUGUAUUUAUCUUGUAUUAACUUUAAGUAAUGAUUAUACCUCAGAUCAGAAGAUUUGUUCAUCGUUACUUACUGCUUAGAGUCGGGCACAAAAACAAAGCUAAUAUCCGGCCUUGGUCAAACUGAUCUCUAUAAAAUACUGUUUUCUCUAUCAGAUUUAAAUAAAUGAUAAAUAAUGAUCGGCCUUUAUGAUCUUUCAUGCAUCUGUGCUUUUCAGAUCGAGUUUGGGCCUUGUAAAAAUUAACACAGUUGUAGACAAUGAAAAUGACGUUCAGCAGCAAUGGAUGUAAACAAGCAAAAUUGUCAUUUCUUAAACACGCUGAUUAAUGUUACCCCUCAGAAAGCACAUUUAAAAUUAAAAGGAUAUAAAAAUUAGAAUGAAAAAAGUCUUUCGUAAUCAGAGAACUUGGAGCUUUCCACGGGUGAAAGCUUUUAAAAAUUUCAAAUUAAACCAUAUUUAUGUGAAACUGACACAAGGGGCUUUAGAGGUGGAGUUUUAUAUGUCAGUCUCCAAGGCCCACAAGCCAAACGUUUGGAAGCCUAGAAUCUUACCUACCCCCUGCUGCUUUGUGCUUAAUGUGGUGAGAAGGCUUGCUGCAACCACCCUUUAGUUUUAUUAUAUGAAUAUCUGUGAGAGAAAGGAAGUUAAUAUGUCUGUGAAAAUAUAUAUAGAAAUACUUAAAUGGGCAACUGAGUAUCUAUUCUACUUAUUAUUAUUGCUUAUGUGGGUUUUUCAUGUCCUAAAAGUACUAAAAUUGUAACCUGUAUAUUACUGUAAAGUAUAAUUAUGAAGUAAGCUAAUAAUUCUUUAUUGUAUAUUUACUUCUCUACAUAUUGAAAAUAAAGGUAUUGUAACAAGUCUGAUCAGUUUUUCUGUAACUCCGGUCAUCUGUUUUCUUCCAAAUAUCUGUAUCUCCCUUUUACCAUUUUCCUAGGACAGUAACUGGCCUACAUUUUAACCUCUGUCUCUUAAUCAGCGCUUCAAAUAAUUGUCAUGAUGGUGUAAUCACACUUAUUAUCAAAUAAAUAUUUUUUUAAUGAUUUGAGUUUUCUUUUUUAGAAAUGCAAAAUAUAUAUUGUAAUUCUAAUGGUAAGUGGUGUUAAGAACGAAGGAUUACGUGAGUAUUAUGAUUAACAUUUUCUAAUUAUUCCAGGAUGUCUGUAUAUAGUGAAGUAUACCUUGUGUAUGAUAUUGCUGUACCUAUAUAUCAGAACCUUAAUACUUGGAUUCUGAGAGAGUUUUUAUGAUGAUGGAAGGAAAACGAUGUUCCUGUUUUUGACAACUUAUGUAAUAACUUUUCUGAUGCAGUUCAGAGAACCAAAAUUUUCUUAUUGCUAUUAUCAAAAUUCCAAGGAUUCAAUCUGAUAAACACAAGAUCAAUUUGUGCUAUUGUAUUUUAAAAUUCUUACUGCAGAUUCAGUAAGAUAAGUGGGGGGAAGGGAUAGUUGGGUUGGCUUAUUUUUUUAUUUAAACACAUGUAAAUCACACUUCAUGAGAAGAUUUGAAAUUAUUUCUGUUUGCUGAUGCCUGUUGGAAUGAGUUUUAAGAAAUCGUGCUGUGGUAAUAAACAUUCCAUUAACUUAUUUUCAAAGAUAAUUUUGCAGUGCAUUCUCCUUAAACUCACUGAGAAUUUUUUUUAUUUUCUAUGCAGGAAAAAAAAUCCCUAUAUCUGUAUUUUCACAUUGUGGUUUACUUGCAAAAUAAAAAGGACUAUUUCAAAGUA